GACAGAGGGUGCAAACGUUGUUCGGAAUUACUGGGCGUAAAGCGAGUGUAGGCGGUGUGGUAAGUCGGAUGUGAAAGCCCCGGGCUCAACCCGGGAAGUGCACUCGAUACUGCCACGCUAGAGUAUCGGAGAGGUUGGUGGAAUUCUCGGUGUAGAGGUGAAAUUCGUAGAUAUCGAGAGGAACACCGGUGGCGAAGGCGGCCAACUGGACGAAUACUGACGCUGAGGCGCGACAGCGUGGGGAGCAAACAGG
rnacentral:rRNA from 1 species